rnacentral:rRNA from 1 species
CUGACCUCAAAUCAGGUAGGACUACCCGCUGAACUUAAGCAUAUCAAUAAGCGGAGGAAAAGAAACUAACAAGGAUUCCCCUAGUAACUGCGAGUGAAGCGGGAAAAGCUCAAAUUUAAAAUCUGGCGGUCUUCGGCCGUCCGAGUUGUAGUCUGGAGAAGCGUCUUCCGCGUCGGACCGUGUACAAGUCUCUUGGAACAGAGCGUCAUAGAGGGUGAGAAUCCCGUCUUUGACACGGACUACCGAUGCUUUGUGAUGCGCUCUCAAAGAGUCGAGUUGUUUGGGAAUGCAGCUCAAAAUGGGUGGUAAAUUCCAUCUAAAGCUAAAUAUUGGCGAGAGACCGAUAGCGAACAAGUACCGUGAGGGAAAGAUGAAAAGCACUUUGGAAAGAGAGUUAAACAGUACGUGAAAUUGCUGAAAGGGAAACGAUUGAAGUCAGUCGCGUCGUUCAGAACUCAACCUUGCCUUCGGGCUCGGUGCACUUUCUGUUUGACGGGCCAGCAUCAGUUUUGACUGUCGGAAAAAGGUCUUCGGAAUGUGGCACCUCCGGGUGUGUUAUAGCCGUUGGUCGUAUACGACGGUUGGGACUGAGGACCGCAGCACGCCUUUUGGCCGGGGUUCGCCCACGUACGUGCUUAGGA